rnacentral:misc_RNA from 1 species
AAGUCGUAACAAGGUUUCCGUAGGUGAACCUGCGGAAGGAUCAUUAAUGAAAGUCUGGGCUUCGGCCCUCUCUCUUCUACACACUUGUGAAUCUACACUGUUGCUUUGGCAGGUAUCCUGAAUGGCGCAAGCUUGAAAGGUUAAACUGAAAGGUGCCUGCCAAAGACAUUUAUCCACCCUUUUUAUAUCGUCUGAUUUUUGUUUAAAACAAAUUAUAAUAAAACUUUCAACAAUGGAUCUCUUGGCUCUG